rnacentral:hammerhead_ribozyme from 1 species
GUACUGAACUGUCCCACAACAGGACGAAACGGCCGUCCAGUAC